GGGCCCGCACAAGCGGUGGAUUAUGUGGUUUAAUUCGAAGCAACGCGAAGAACCUUACCAGGGCUUGACAUCCUGCUAACGAGGUAGAGAUACGUCAGGUGCCCUUCGGGGAAAGCAGAGACAGGUGGUGCAUGGUUGUCGUCAGCUCGUGUCGUGAGAUGUUGGGUUAAGUCCCGCAACGAGCGCAACCCUUAUUGUUAGUUGCUACGCAAGAGCACUCUAGCGAGACUGCCGUUGACAAAACGGAGGAAGGUGGGGACGACGUCAAAUCAUCAUGCCCCUUAUGUCCUGGGCGACACACGUAAUACAAUGGCGGUAAACAAAGGGAAGCGAUGGAGCGAUCCGGAGCAAAUCCCCAAAAGCCGUCCCAGUUCGGAUCGCAGGCUGCAACCCGCCUGCGUGAAGUCGGAAUCGCUAGUAAUCGCGGAUCAGCAUGCCGCGGUGAAUACGUUCCCGGGCCUU
rnacentral:rRNA from 1 species